UAAGUCGACCUUCCAAAGCGUUCGAAGUAUCCCGGAACUAAAGGAAUCAGGUCUGGAGUCUUUCGGAAGCAUAGGAAUAGUACUGGGAAACUCUUGAAGGUGGUGGAACAGUAGCCACGCGCCACCUUAACUCCGGCGGGGGGUUCACGCGCCGCCGCGGGUAAAACCUCGUGGCUCUCGGGCGGAUUUGGUUGCAGCUGGUGUUGCUAUUGGCCAAGAGGGAGAAGGAGAAGAGUUUGAUUUCAUCUUAGUGUGGUGAUCGGUGGGGGUUGACAGAUCGAAAAGAAGAGGAAACCGUAAAGGGGAGAAACCAAAAGAAAGAGGGAGAGGG
rnacentral:lncRNA from 1 species